rnacentral:rRNA from 1 species
GAUGAACGCUAGCGGCAGGCUUAACACAUGCAAGUCGAGGGGUAACAUGGAGGAGCUUGCUUUCCGCUGACGACCGGCGCACGGGUGCGUAACGCGUAUAGAGCCUACCUUUUACAGGGGGAUAGCCUUUAGAAAUGAAGAUUAAUACCUCAUAGUAUUGAGACUUGGCAUCAAGACUUAAUUAAAGAUUUAUCGGUAAAAGAUGGCUAUGCGUCCUAUUAGCUAGAUGGUAAGGUAACGGCUUACCAUGGCAACGAUAGGUAGGGGUCCUGAGAGGGAGAUCCCCCACACUGGUACUGAGACACGGACCAG